ensembl:lncRNA
CAAAGAUCUAAUGAAAAAUUGAUAUUUUCUUUGAGCACUAAGCCACUAAUAAUCUUGCAAGAACUCAGAUUUGACAAAAUUUAAAACUUGAUAACAUGGGUAAAAAUAUGAAGUUUGCACUGAAAUUUUGAAGUACUUUUUUUGGUAAUGUUUAUUUUAAUAUACCAUGGUGGUCUGGAGUAGAAAGAUAACAGUAUGAGUGACAUAGCAAACAGUCUUAAAGACCAUGAAAUUAUAAAAUAUACUUAAAUAGAAUUUAUAGGAAAAUACAAUUAAAAAUGUGAGGAUUUUGAAUAAGUCUGAGAUGGAAUAUACAGGAGAACACAGUGUGCUACUCUUGUACCAUCAUAUGUGUGGGGAUCAAAGGGAAACAGCACAGUCACUUGCCUGUUACAUAAAAUUUCCAUCCAGUAUUUAGAAAUAAGUUAAACUGGUGGAGUACAAAUGACAGAAUCAGAAGUAGGAAAGAAGAAUAAUAUAUUGUCCCAUAGCAUGGACAGCAAUGUGUGAUGGGAGUGAAAAUCUUGGCCCAUGUCCAGACAGAACACACCAAACCAACAUCGAUCCAUGUGUAGAGGUUUGAUGAGACAAGGAGAAUAAAAGAGGGGACAAGUAAGAGAAUGUGGAGGGAGGGCGGAGAUGGGGAGAGAAAGAACAGGGAAAAAGAGAAGCACAUGAGCACAGAAGAGUAAGCAAGAGAAAGAGAGAGCAAGAGCAAGAGGAAGAGGAGCGGUCAUGCAACCCCAUUUAUAGUCAGGGACAGCUGACUGUUGCCAGGCAACUCUGGGGUGGAGCAUACAUGGCUGUUGCCAGGUAGCUGUGGGGAUGGACCUUAGAAAGAAUACCAACAUUCCCCUGUUUUGUUUUGGUUUUUUUUUUAAAGCAAAAUUAGAAAGACAAUGGUGGAGUAGGAAUAGGGUAUUUGCGAUGUCUAUUUCCUGUUAGAAAAAUGGGUAUGGGAUGUUUGUACUAUCUUAAGAGUUGACUGUUUCCUUGUUGGCAAGCAUCUAUGGAAUGAUCUGAGGUUAGGUCAGAAGGAACAGGAUCAAUAAGGGUGUCUGUGUCUGUGAUAGGAGAUUGGAACUUCUGGAGGUGGCUUCUCUGGAGAUAUCCUGGGUGUAGUAAACACCUGGACUUGACCAGAUGCUGGAACACACAUAUAUAUUUAUUAUAGUUGAAGAAUAAAAUUAAGUGUGUUUGGAAGAAAAUAAAUAUUUUCAUACAUGUACAUUUGAAACCCAGAGGAAUGCCACCCUUUGGAAUAAGUUAUAAAUGGGAACUUGAGGCAGAUAUUCUAAUUUCUAUAUGAGAGGUAGGUCUGAGUGGGUUUCCUGUAGUUUAUAACUUUACAAAAGAGAUAAUAUAAGUUAACAACAUGAAUAGUCUUUAAGAUAAGCUUUCUGUGAAAAGAAGGAACAAUUUGUCUUACAGAACAUGUCCUGGAUGACUUAAAACAGUUAGCCAUGACAAAAAAGACUGAGAAAACAGUGUCCAAGUCCUAUUUGGAAAGACUUUAGCAACAAAGGGGUUCCGGAUCACCCCAGAUUUGGUGGUCUACUUGAGAAGCUGGUAGAGGAGGCAACAUGCUCAUGUUAGUAGGUUGGCUGACUUUAAGGAGCAGAGGAGCUGCUUACAAGCUUGGGUUUAGGCAAAUGUGUGGAACAAAGGAAAUAAAGACUUCCAACUUAGCUAUAAGAUCCUGUCCCUAUAAGUAGACAGGGAAUGUUGGCACUACCAAAGAGGAAAGGGUGCGAGGUACAUUCCUAAAAUUGUAACUAAACAGUGGGGUUUGGUGAGGAUGGUAAGUUGCCUCCUACCCUGACAGUGGGGGAACAUUAGAGAGACAUGGGUCUACAAAACUCUAUUUGGAAAGAGUAAAUGGCCCCUGUGUCUAAAAGGAAGGAGUUAGGCUACCCACAUACCAUGAUAGUUACCCAGGGCUCCUUACUGGUGAUGGCAGUCCAGAGAACUCAGGCCCCUUCAGAGUCCAUAGCCAAGCCUAGGAGAUCCACUGGAGGGUUAUUUGCAUGUGAUGUCCCCCUGUGCUAUACAAUAUGAGGGUAAUUGACAGCCCAAUGUCCACUUGAUGGAACCUAAAACAUAGCCCCUUGGCUUGCAGAAGAUAGGGCAAGCCUUUGCCCAGUCACUUUGUUGACCACAUCUGUAGCAGAAGCCUGUUGGUCUCUUAGUCUUAGAAGACCUGGAGUCCCACAGCAAUAGCUGAGGCUGGCCAGACAGCCUUUCCCAGCAUAUGGUAUUAGUGUGCAAGCCCUCUUAUCUCUCCCAUGGUAAACCUAAAAGCCAACCAAAAAACUUCUGUAGAGUUUGAAGCCCCCUGUCCAGCUUUUUUAAGUUUGUCUUUUAUGUGUGGGUAGCUCUGGGAGAAGAAAGGUUUUCAGAAGUUGCUUACAUUCUGAGUUGUCAGGGUCUAAAUAUGUGUAUUGUAAUAAAGCCUUUGUAAGUCAUUCUAAAAUUUGGGAUGGGUUUUCCUGUUUUUCCAAGAUGACCUCUGGCAAUUUUUAAAAAUACACUGGUUUUAAGACUGUCCUCUAAAGACUGGCCAGGAGAGAAGUUAUGAAUCUACCUGUGGAAGUAUAAUUCCUUUGAUGAUCAUGGGGAGGUACAACCAGAGAUCCAACUGGGGGGGCAGUGUGAGUAUGCUGGAAAAGACAGUGAAAGCUGUUUUUCUUGAGGCUGUGGCAGAUUAAGCACAGGAGCAAAGUCCCUGACAGUAAGAGAGCUCACUUGCACAUAGGUCUUAGCAAGAAGAAUCCUUAUCAGAUACAAGGGACAGGACCAGACUUGCUUAUCCUGCUGCUGUGAACCAGGGUCUGCAGCAGGCAGAGCAUAGAAGCAUGUGUGCAAAGUGUAGGGGUUGCACAUGUGUGGGAAAGCAGGUCUCACAGACAGAGUCCCUGGCAGACACAAAGGAUGGGGCCACAUCUGCUUUUCACGGGGACAACAAAGAUGGAUAGACCUGUGAAUGAGACUAGUAUUAUUAAUUGCCCACGACAGUGUUGGGGCUACACUCAGAGCUGCUUCUCUUGAGCCAGAAAUCAGUUUAUCCAGGCCCAGCCUGGCAUUUUCAUCAGAGAGAAACUGUCUCAAAAAAAAAUGGAGGAAUAAUCUCACCAAAGAGAAACAGUCCUAGAAUGAGAGUUAGUGAAAGGAUCCAUCCCCAGGGUCAGCACAGGUAGCUCCAAGCUCAAGAACACUCCCCUGAGAUCAUAUGUACAUCAUGGAGAGUCAAGCUCUCAGAUAAAGAAAGCACAUAGAGAUCGAGUUAGUCACCACUCACCAGCACGUGCUUGAUGAAGGUGCUCUUCUUGGCAGGAAGUUGCAUGCAGGGUGUCACAGUGAUGUGGAGGCCUGCUGGACUGACCAGCCAGUACCCAGAGCACACGUUAACUCAGUGGGAUGUCACAGAAACUGAAAUACAGAGAGGGGUUAGACCAAAUGUAUAUGAAUGCUUUGGCAUAAGGAACCUUCCAUUUACCAGACUGCUAGCAGUAAUUGUGAAUAUCCUCUAAAAUUGAGGAAUUUAGCAUGCUAUUAUGCGGCCAUUUUGAACCAUUACCUAAUGAAUACUAGAUCAUUCAAAUAUUUUGAUGUCCUCAGGAGAGGCAUUAGUUUUAGAGUUUUGAAAUUCUCUAGAAAUCAAAAUCUUGAAGGGAUGUUCAAAGACAAUGAAUAGCUCACUAGGGGAAAGUUACUGAGUAAUCCUGACUGGCAUCCCAGGAGGAUUUACUGGUGGUAACAGUAGCAUUUCUUGAGGCCAGGCAUCUGAGUCAUCACUUAGACUCCUAUAGGCCGUAAACGACAGGUCCCAGACAUACCAGAAACCAUUCCUACCCAGGCCUGGGAUUUUAUGAUCGUCUGCGAGAGUCUGGAGUAGGAGGGAAGCUAGGAAAUGCUUUCAGGGGAAUCUUCACCCAAUGAUUGAAGUCCUAUCUCAUAUUUUAGCUAAGGUGGUUCCCUUUUCCCCAGAAAGACUGACUAAGGCCUAUUUUGGGAAUUUAGGGUUCUCCUUGCCAACUGAAAUAGAUCUACCAAAGUGCUGGUAUUCGUGCAGGAAUUGUAGCUAAUGUCUGGUAGCAGGAGAAGAGGAACUGAGUGGUUGAUGAGGGCUUUUCUAAGUGACGCAUGUGGCAAGAGCAGGCAACAUAUGGUGAAACAAAGAGUGCAGUGGCUAAUGCAGGAGUCUGCAUGUGCACUAGCUGCAGCAGGAACUCAAGUGGUGGAAGUCCUGAGUCCCACAUCAGUCAGCAGGUGGUGGUGUCCAAUGGUGAAGCAGACAAAUGAGAUUUAUUUCUAGAAUAUUCAUAUUAUAAAAAACAAGCAUAUACAUAGUAGCAUGUAAUUCCAUGUCAUGAGCUAGAGACACAAAACUCUGAGUUUUGAGGGCCAGCUAUGUUAGAAUGUUUCGCAAAAUCCAUUCAUUGGUUAAAUAUUAUCUUAAAAUAAUGCACACUGACCACCAUUUGAGACUGUAUGCAUAGUUCCUCUAUUAUGCACAUCCAGGCAAAAUCCCAUAUGAUAGAAGCAGAACUCAUGAAUCCCGACUGGUAUAAGUCUGCCUUUUGUUAUUUAAUAAGAUGAUGGAGGAAAAGAGUCAGAUUUUUCUCAGGGAUCCUUACUUGAGAGACUACAAAUUUUCCAGUAGAUGGUGCCAUAUCCAUGUACAGGCAAGUACCAUAAAUGAACUCAGAUUUAUUAAAGAGACAGUACACAUAUUACCUUCUGGUGCAAUAGGAAUAGCUGUCAUUGGAAAUGAAAUAUAGUGUAGGGAAAUGGAGUGCUUUUUCAAUAUACAAUUUCAUAUAUCAAUUCCAAAUAAAAUAUUUUUAACUGUCAUUUCCAUCUAAGAAAGAAAAAAUGAAGAAAGACACCUGCAUUCAAACCUAAUGUACAAUUACGGAGACAGCAACCAGCUGCACUUCAUACCCUAGAGUCAUAAUCAGAACAGUUCAAAAAGAAACAGAAGUUUUCUUUUUUUCUAGAUAGGUACACUACAUUCCAAAGUACCCCCUGGCAUUAUAAGCCCCCAUCAUCAUUUGCCAGUAUUGUGUAUUGUUAAUUGCAACAAGAGCAUUGGGUAAAUUAUGCUUUUUGUUUUGUUUUGUUUUGUUUUGUUUUCCUGACUUCCUUUUUCACUUUCCUUGCUUCUGCAGCAACACAGAGGGAGGAGGCAGAGAUAAAUGAAUCAGCAGCUCUAAUGGAGAUCUCCAAGGUUACUGCAGGCUCUGCUUUGUAUUCUCACACUUGAAAUCUCUCUGCUCAUCCGUUCUUAAUCCAUUCUGUAUUUGCAUGUACACACUCCUGUAAACUGAAGCAAAGGGAGUAAUAAAAUCACCCCCACCCUCCGGCUGCAGGGCUUUUUUUCCUGUUAGACUUCUGGCUAGAGUCCACUAAUCCUCUGGUACCUGAUCUGGCCAAAGCCUGACUAUAACCUGCUCCAGAGAGGAAGACUGCUCCUGCAGGAGACUGAGACAGUGGAGAUGUAGCAUAAGCAGGGAGUCCUGAGAUUCCUCCUCUCCUGCUCUGACUUACUGGCUCCUGUUUCUUAUCCAGAUCAUAUGUUUCUCCCACCGAAGCUACUCCCUUGGAGGACCAGCUAUGAAGAACUGCUCUCAGAAGGAUAGUUCUUACAGGGCCCACUCAUGUAGCCUGAGAGACCAUCC